AUUGAACGCUGGCGGCAUGCUUUACACAUGCAAGUCGAACGGUAACAGGCCGCAAGGUGCUGACGAGUGGCGAACGGGUGAGUAAUGCAUCGGAACGUGCCCAGUCGUGGGGGAUAACGCAGCGAAAGCUGCGCUAAUACCGCAUACGAUCUAUGGAUGAAAGCGGGGGACCGAAAGGCCUCGCGCGAUUGGAGCGGCCGAUGUCAGAUUAGGUAGUGGGGGGGGUAAAGGCUCACCAAGCCGACGAUCUGUAGCUGGUCUGAGAGGACGACCAGCCACACUGGGACUGAGACACGGCCCAGACUCGUACGGGAGGCAGCAGUGGGGAAUUUUGGACAAUGGGCGCAAGCCUGAUCCAGCAAUGCCGCGUGCAGGAAGAAGGCCUUCGGGUUGUAAACUGCUUUUGUACGGAACGAAAAGGCUCUGGUUAAUACCUGGGGCUCAUGACGGUACCGUAAGAAUAAGCACCGGCUAACUACGUGCCAGCAGCCGCCGUAAAAC
rnacentral:rRNA from 1 species